UUUAGUACCGCUCCGGUGGUCUUGUGGUUAGAGCGUCCGCCUCGGAUGAGGAAGGUCGCAGGUUCGAAUCCUGGCUAAGUCAUACUAAAG